UGACAGAAUUAGGGAGGGAGUGACUAGUGACAGAGAGAGGGAUGGGGUGACUAGUGACAGUCACCCCCUCCCUCACUCUGUCACUAGUCACUCCCUCACUCUGUCACUAGUC